rnacentral:tRNA from 1 species
ACGUCUGUGGCCGAACGGUCAGGCAUUGGUCUCCAAAACCAACUACAGGGGUUCGACUCCUCUCAGACGUGCAA